GAUAAGCUUGGUGCAAAAGUGAUUGCGGUUUUUGCCAUUGAAAAUAAUGGCAAAAACCGCAAUCACUUUUGCACCAAGCUAAUA
rnacentral:pre_miRNA from 2 species